GAGUUUGAUCCUGGCUCAGGAUGAACGCUAGCGGCAGGCUUAACACAUGCAAGUCGAACGGUAACAGGAAAAGCUUGCUUUUUGCUGACGAGUGGCGAACGGGUGCGUAACGCGUAUGCAACCUACCUUCUUCUGAGGAAUAGCCCAGAGAAAUUUGGAUUAAAACCUCAUGAUAAUAUUUAUUCGCAUGUUUAAAUAUUUAAAAUUUCGAUGGAAGAAGAUGGGCAUGCGUAACAUUAGUUUGUUGGUGAGGUAAUGGCUCACCAAGACUACGAUGUUUAGGGGGUCUGAGAGGAUGAUCCCCCACACUGGUACUGAGACACGGACCAGACUCCUACGGGAGGCAGCAGUGAGGAAUAUUGGUCAAUGGACGAAAGUCUGAACCAGCCAUGCCGCGUGAAGGAUGACUGCCCUACGGGUUGUAAACUUCUUUUGUAUAGGAAGAAACCCCUCUACGUGUAGAGGGUUGACGGUACUAUUCGAAUAAGCACCGGCUAACUCCGUGCCAGCAGCCGCGGUAAUACGGAGGGUGCGAGCGUUAUCCGGAAUUAUUGGGUUUAAAGGGUGCGUAGGCGGAAAUUUAAGUCAGUGGUGAAAGCCUGCAGCUUAACUGUAGAAUUGCCAUKGAUACUGAAUUUCUUGAAUCUAAUUGAAGUAGGCGGAAUAUGACAUGUAGCGGUGAAAUGCUUGGAUAUGUCAUAGAACACCGAUAGCGAAGGCAGCUUACUAAGUUAGUAUUGACGCUAAUGCACGAAAGCGUGGGGAGCGAACAGGAUUAGAUACCCUGGUAGUCCACGCCGUAAACGAUGAUUACUCGCUAUUGGCGAUACACUGUCAGUGGCUAAGCGAAAGUGAUAAGUAAUCCACCUGGGGAGUACGAUCGCMAGGUUGAAACUCAAAGGAAUUGACGGGGGCCCGCACAAGCGGUGGAGCAUGUGGUUUAAUUCGAUGAUACGCGAGGAACCUUACCAGGUCUUAAAUGCAUAACGAACAGUUGGGAAACCAAUUUUUCUUCGGACGGAAUGCAAGGUGCUGCAUGGUUGUCGUCAGCUCGUGCCGUGAGGUGUCAGGUUAAGUCCUAUAACGAGCGCAACCCCUAUUCUUAGUUGCCAGCGGUUCGGCCGGGGACUCUAAGAAAACUGCCAGUGCAAGCUGUGAGGAAGGUGGGGAUGACGUCAAAUCAUCACGGCCCUUACGACCUGGGCCACACACGUGCUACAAUGGUAGGUACAAAGAGCAGCCACUUGGCGACAAGGAGCUAAUCUCAAAAACCUAUCUCAGUUCGGAUUGGAGUCUGAAACUCGACUCUAUGAAGCUGGAAUCGCUAGUAAUCGCGCAUCAGCCAUGGCGCGGUGAAUACGUUCCCGGGCCUUGUACACACCGCCCGUCAAGCCAUGGAAGCUGGGAGUACCUGAAGUCGGUAACCAUAUAGGAGCUGCCUAGGGUAAAACUAGUAACUGGGGCUAAGUCGUAACAAGGUAGCCGUACCGGAAGGUGUGGCUGGAUCACCUCCUUUCU
rnacentral:rRNA from 1 species